ACCUGGGUGGCUGAGUUGUUAAGCGCCUGACUUUGGCUUAGGUCACGAUCUCAUGGCUAGUGGGUUCGAGCCCCAUGUUGGGUU
rnacentral:tRNA from 1 species